GACGAACGCUGGCGGCGUGCUUAACACAUGCAAGUCGAACGGAAAGGCCCUGCUUUUGCGGGGUGCUCGAGUGGCGAACGGGUGAGUAACACGUGAGUAACCUGCCCUUGACUUUGGGAUAACUUCAGGAAACUGGGGCUAAUACCGGAUAGGAGCUCCUGCUGCAUGGUGGGGGUUGGAAAGUUUCGGCGGUUGGGGAUGGACUCGCGGCUUAUCAGCUUGUUGGUGAGGUAGUGGCUUACCAAGGCUUUGACGGGUAGCCGGCCUGAGAGGGUGACCGGCCACAUGGGGACUAAGAUACGGCCCAGACUCCAACGGGAGGCAGCAGGGGGGAAUAUUGCACAAUGGGCGGAAGCCUGAUACAGCAACGCCGCGUGCGGGAUGACGGCCUUCGGGUUGUAAACCGCUUUCGCCUGUGACGAAGCGUGAGUGACGGUAAUGGGUAAAGAAGCACCGGCUAACUACGUG
rnacentral:rRNA from 1 species